UGACUUUUUUGUGAUUGCUUAUUGUGAGAUAGGAAUCGGUCAUUUGGUUCCAACAUCGCUGAGCAUGGCUUUAACUGGUCCUCCAGGUGAAUAUCCAUCCUCUGAGACCUUGAGGACAUUUUAAUUUGUGUCACAUAUGAAAAUAUUGAUUCACAAGAAUAAGUUGUGCCAAAACAGGGCAGCGUUUGACGGGCAUGUUGAUGAGACUUGGCUAUUCAGUGGCAUUUAAUCCUCCUUAGCAUCAAAUACAGACUUCAGAAUAUUAUCUUCUGAGAGCUCAAUCAGUUCCAUCUGUAAGUCAUCAGGUGCUCUGGAGGCAUCAACCAGGUAUGGUUGAAAAGCUAGUUUCAGUGUGAGAUCGUGUUUCUCAAAAUCUGCAAACAGUUUCAUUGCAUUCUUCAAUCAGGGAAUCUAGAACAGCUGAGUAUUCUUUCACAUCUUAUUCCCUCAAUGAUUUGCUCCUGUUCAUUAAUUACCUUUACCAACUCAGGAAAGUGUUCAGCUAAAAGUUCCGAUCAGGUAAGGAGAGGUUUGAAAAAGGUCAGCUUUUUCCAAAAUGAUUGUAUUUUUAGCUGCAUUUCGUAUAUCGAUUUAGUUUUACCUUGCAACAAAAAAUUCAGAUCAUUUUACUUUGACAUUAUAUCGUACAAAAAUGCAGCUUUUCUGCAGAAAUCCUCUUUGGACAAUUCACGUGGUUCAUUCAGUUCCUCAAAAAAAAAAUCUUGUGAUUUGUUUUCGCAAAGAUAAAAGUUUCACAAGUAUUUGUCCUUGUGAAAACCAGCACACUUUAGAAUGAUGUGGCAGAUCCACACUGAAUGUUUCAUCAUUAAGCUGAAGCAUGUUACAAAAUUGGCGAUGCCAUGAUGCAUUUGCUUCAAUGCAGUUUACAAUAUUGUAACUUACUUUAAUGUGUCACUUAAAACAGUGGAGUUGGCACUACUGAUGCAAAAGACAAUGAAAGGAAAUGAAAGUAUCUGCAUCUGGCAACAUAUCCUUCACCUUUUCCUCUCACAGAAGAUGCACUGUCUGUGCGUACACUUACUAAAUUGCAUAAAUUCCGAUUUGCUUCGCGUCACUUGUCUUUGAAGGUAGUGAAGAUGUCAAUUCUACCUGCCCUCUCUGUAAGGGUACCCUCAUGGAAAUGAAAAUCUGCAGUUAUAGCGCAAAUAAAAAAUAACAUCUGCGCUGAGUCAGUAAUGUCAGUGGAUUCAGCCAAGGCAAUCGAAUAAUAAAUGUUUUCACUUUGCCAUACCACACAGCUGCUGAGACGCGGUGCUGAAGUCUCUGGGACCCAUGUAUGUGAUUUGUACUGUGGGCUGAGGUCUUCUUUGGCUAAAUGUGAGUUUUGUUGAGUUGCACAGUUUCUCUCCACAAGGUCAGCAGAGAUCUCCCAAUGCAUAUAUCUUCCUAGACUCACCUCAUUAAGUGCCUCCAUUGCCCCAAUUGCUGAUUUGAGCCCCAUUCUGACAGCACCAUUCCCAGAAGAAUGUGCCAUUCAUUGGAUGAGUGAGGUGAAAGUGGAUGACACAACUUUUGUUCUUGGGCAAUGGCUGAAAGGUGGCGAGGUGUUCUGGGUGAAUGUGCUGGCAGAAGACCAGCAUUAUUAGUGCCAGCGCCAACCUUAUAGGACUGCAAUGAGUCUGCCAGCUGACCAUUCACAUUCUGAAGCUGUGUUGCUCAUUGAAGGACAGUCUGUAUGAAGAUAUCUAAGAAGAACAAUAUGGCACCAUGAUUCUCCGACGUGGACCUGGAGGUCCUGGUGGAGAGGGUGGUCCAGGGAAGUGGGGAUGCGGUCUGUCCUCUUUCCAGAGCAGCACCAGAGGCAGUCGUGCCACCAGACUCUGGCAGCUUAGGAGUGGCCACCAUCUAGGCCAUGGCCUAGAGAGAUGGCCAACAGCAUCAAUGACCUUCUCCGUGGCACCAGUGUAAGUGUCACAUACUUCUCUUUGCCACCUCACUCACUCUAUCUCCACUACACCACCCACCUCCCACUAAGGCUCACGUUCGGUCACUCUCACUAUUCCCUCAUUCCCUCUUGUUUCCCCUCCAAAUCACUGACCCUCCAUGCCCUCUGCUGUACCUGCACACUCCCCUAGGACACCUUACCACCUUUUGCCCACCAGCACCAACAGGUGUGCUACCCACUUUCACCUCACUUAAUCCCUUCCUCUCUCCCAUUACAGGAUAGAACAACCUAUACUAUGGUGGAAAGAGCCAGGACCAGGUGGAGGUGUGUCCAACAGCAUACACAGCAAGGGGUGAAAUCUGUCCCUCUCAGUAGAUGACCAGGCCCACUCCUGAAGGGAUAAUGUGACAUCCAUGUCCUGCUAACCAACUCAGAUACUAACACCUCAACAGGGACAUCGAGUUCAGAACAUUUGGGAGCCCAACCUGAUGGGUACCUCACUGUGACAGCUCCGCAACUGGCAGAGGGAGAAAGACCACACACAGGCUCGUCAGAACACUGUCCUGUCUUCCUCCUUUGAAAUUCAAGCCGAAGAGGAUUAGCUUGCCUCUGGACUGGAACUUUGCCCUGAGUACAACAUCAAAACGAAGCACACUGUGAAGGCUGUAAAUUAAGAUUCUGACAGAAAUUUGUGAUUUCUCCAAAUGUCUCCUCUGCACGAGUUAAGAAACACGUCUUGCAUUAAGCACUUCCUUUCAACUUUCCACCUCCCAUCCUGAAGAUGUUCCGCAAGCAGUAUGAACCUAUUUGUACUUUUCCCCAUUGCUGUUGCUCAUGUAGCACACUCGAGAGUAACUCUUGGAAGGUUAUUUGAUCUUGGGGUCAACAGGGAAGUGUAUCAUGACGAGCCCCGGACAGAAAAUAUUACUUCUACCAGAAACAGCAUUCAGGAGCAACAUGACUUGCUGGCUCUGUUAUUUUAUAUGAAACUGUUGUGGCUCAGAAUCCAAUACAUUUGCCCUUGGAGCAAUAGGUUGUUGAUUCAAGUCCUGCCCUGGAAUGUUAGCACAAACUUAAGCCUGAGACUCUAGUGCAGCACUGAUGGGAAGCUGUUCAGCUGAGCCCUAACUGACUUGUGUAUAAAAAUUUGCAUGGGAUUGUCUUGUAAGAGAAGAGCUGAGUUAUCCCCAGAGUCUGAGUUGAUAUUUAUGCCUUAAACAACACGAUAAAAACUAAAGUGGGCAAUCGAGAGUGUAUCACAUUACUUGGGUCUGGAGUCACAUGAGUCACUAGGUGGCAGAUUUCCCUUCCCUAAAGGAUAUCAAAUGGAACCAGAUGGAUCUUUACAACAAAAGUUACGUCAGAUUAACUUUUAAUUCCAGAUUUAUUAAUUACAUUUGAAUUUCACCAUCUGUCAUGGAGGGAUUUAAACCUCAGUCUUCAAAACACUGGAUUAUGAGUCUAACAGCAAAACUGUUACACCCCCACCUACCUCGUCACCUGUGCAUUAAAGCAUUACUUUUUCUGGGA